CCCGAGCCAGAGGCUGAGCCCCAGCUGGAGGCCGAGGGGAAGUGGGUCCUUUGCAACUAUGACUUCCAGGCCCGCAACAGCAGCGAGCUGUCAGUCCAGAAGCAGGACGUGCUGGAGGUCCUGGAUGACCGGCGCAAGUGGUGGAAGGUUCGGGACCCGCGAGGCCAGGAGGGAUACGUGCCGUAUAACAUCUUGACGCCCCACCCGGGGCCGGGGCCAAGCCGCAGCCUGGAAGACCGCGCUCCUCCACCCCCGCCGGCCCCAGCUCCUGCCUCCCCGCGGCCCCGCUGGGACAGCAGCGACAGCCUCAACUUGGACCCCCGAG